GGGGAACCUGCGGCUGGAUCACCUCCUUUCUAAGGAAGCUGUGGAACUGGUAAGACGACCGGCUGGAUCUUCGGAUCUCCCCGGUAUGAACCUUCCCGUGCUUUUUAGAACAUAGAUGGCACCAGUCAGGUGACCAUCGAAACGUAAUACGCCGCGUAGACUUCGGUCACGACGGUAUGGCGAGCUUUCGCCGUCCACGUUUCUCUUUCUUCAAGAAGACAAAAAACCGUAUCGACCGGUUCCCCGAAUGGGCCCGUAGCUCAGUUGGUUAGAGCACACGCUUGAUAAGCGUGGGGUCGGAAGUUCAAGUCUUCCCGGGCCCACCAUUUGCUUGAUGCGAAUGAUGGUUUGGGAUGAUGGAAUGGCAGUUGAUGCGGAUUGUUGCCGAACCCGGGAUGUGUCCUGGGCGAUCGAGCUGAUGGGGCUGUAGCUCAGCUGGGAGAGCACCUGCUUUGCAAGCAGGGGGUCAGCGGUUCGAUCCCGCUCAGCUCCACCAAAUCGAUUGGUGUUGAGACUGACGGCAUUUGUCUUUUGAAGAAAUACAAGUUUUGCAUCGGCUUUGAGCCUGAUGCCUGUUCUGCAUAUAUCGUGAAGAGAAGAUUGAUCUGGAGGCUUCCAGGUGUUUUGGGUUCUGCCCAAAGCGUCCGAGCCCAGUUCCUGUGAACCCAUGGAUGGCCUAGCCGGCCGGAUGUGGUGGAGGGAUUGGAGGUAGGAAGGAAGCUUGUCGCUCUGGAUCGUUGUUGUUUGCAGUCUUCGGACUGCAUCUGACGGACGAUCGGAUUACCGUUGCCUGACCGCGCGGUAUCGGAUCCAAUCUCGAGAAGCUGGUCUUAAGACAGGCUGCAAGUGGGCUGCUCGGCGUAGCUCCAAUAAAGCAGACCUGUCGAACACGUCGAUGGCAUUGUUGGAUUGACUGGGUUGUAAAAGGUAACCCGGUCUGUUGCCGUUUCUUUGAAGCGGGCAACGAGAUGAUGAGCAUUGGCAAUGAGAACGAUUAAGUGUCGUAAGGGCAUUUGGUGGAUGCCUUGGCAUGCACAGGCGAUGAAGGACGUGAUACGCUGCGAAAAGCCGUGGGGAGCUGCGAAUGAGCUUUGAUCCAUGGAUCU
rnacentral:misc_RNA from 1 species